GGGUACGACCAUACUUGGCCGAAUGCACCGCAUCCCGUCCGAUUUGCGAAGUUAAGCGGCCACAGGCCCCGUUAGUACGGCGAU
rnacentral:rRNA from 1 species